rnacentral:rRNA from 1 species
GAUGAACGCUAGCGGCAGGCCUAAUACAUGCAAGACGAACGGUAAGUUGAGUAGCAAUACUUAGCCAAGAGUGUCGUACGGGUGCGUAACACGUAUGCAACCUACCCUAUACAGGAGGAUAGCCUAGGGAAACCUGGAUUAACCCUUCAUAGUAUUAUUGGAUGGCAUCAUUUGAUAAUUAAAACUGAGGUGGUAUAGGAUGGGCAUGCGUCUGAUUAGUUAGUUGGCGGGGUAAUGGCCCACCAAGACGAUGAUCAGUAGGGGUUCUGAGAGGAAGAUCCCCCACACUGGCACUGAGAUACGGGCCAGACUCCUACGGGAGGCAGCAGUAGGGAAUAUUGGUCAAAUGGAUGCAAGUCUGAACCAGCCAUGUCGCGUGCAGGAAGAAGGCCUUCGGUGUAAG